UUUUGCAUUGGCUUUACGUGCCAUGAUGCUGUUGCCGACGGCAUGUAAAAGGUGGGUUUUACCCAACCCUGUGCCUCCGUA
rnacentral:antisense_RNA from 1 species